GAUCUUACACAAUGGGGGAAACCCUGAUGCAGCGACGCCGCGUGGGCGAAGAAGGCCUUCGGGUCGCAAAGCCCUUUUCUGGGUGGCGAGGAAGGACGGUAGCCUAGGUAGAAGUCGCGGCUCACUACGUGCCAGCAGCCGCGGUAAAACUUAGGAGGCAAGCGUUAUCCGGAGUUACUGGGCGUAAACAGCGAGCAGGCGGUUAGGCAAGUUAGGUGUGAAAGAUCCCGGCUAAACCGGGAGAGUGCAUUCAAGACUGCCUGGCUAGAGGACGGUAGAGGGGCGCAGAAUUCGGGGUGUAGCGGUGAAAUGUGUAGAGAUCCCGAGGAAUACCAGUGGGGAAGCCGGCGCCCUGGGCCGAACCUGACGCUGAGGCGCGACAGCGUGGGGAGCGAACGGG
rnacentral:rRNA from 1 species